rnacentral:sRNA from 1 species
UCCGAUCACAAGGUGGGCCCCUGAGGCGGC